rnacentral:misc_RNA from 1 species
AAAAAUUGCUGAGGGAACAGAGUCUUGCAUCCAUGUUAUAAGUAGUGAAGGGAAUGCUGCUACAAAGAGCACAGAGAAAAGUUCAAAGAAGGUUAGGUUUGCUAUGAAGAACAACCUGAUAUGGAAACCAAACAGUCCAAUGCCUCCACAAAACUUACGGUUGCCACCCACUCUUACUCCCCGAGGUAGUGCUUUGAAGAAGGGGGUGCCUCCUGGCCCCAUAAGAGAGAUGCCUCUCUCCAAGAAGAUGAAACAGAAAAAGAAAGGCCGCAAGAUACUAAGGACAGUCUCCCCUGCCAUGAAGCGACUGAAAAAGAUGAAAGCUGUGUCUACUUAGUAAAGUUUAAGUUGCAGGUGCUUGUUCGUCAACUAUUUUUUUUUAAACUCUGUUAUUUGAGAUUUUCUAAAUUCAUUUCUGGAACUUCACAUUUCUUCUGCUUAGGAUUUUUGGUAGCCUUACCUUGGAUUAAACUCUAAAGUUUCUUUGAAGAAAU